AAUAAUUUGAUUUGCCAGAACCAAACCACUAAAAUUGGAGUGAGAGAGUGAGGCAGAGUUUUCAUCCAUUGUCCCCAAAUUACCCUCCUACAAACAAAAAAUUACCAAAUAUAUCUCCCCCUCCCUCACUACUCUCUCCCGCCGUUGUUCUACGCUAUUCAAUAGAGCGGAGCUCGGUUCGGAGUCUUCUUUCUCCGGUUCAUCAUACCAGCCGACAUUUCGGAUAUCCGUGGGAAUAUUGGCCGG
rnacentral:misc_RNA from 1 species